ACGGGUGCGUAACGCGUGGGAAUCUGCCCUUGGGUUCGGAAUAACAGUUAGAAAUGACUGCUAAUACCGGAUGAUGUCUUCGGACCAAAGAUUUAUCGCCCAAGGAUGAGCCCGCGUAAGAUUAGCUAGUUGGUGGGGUAAUGGCCCACCAAGGCGACGAUCUUUAGCUGGUCUGAGAGGAUGAUCAGCCACACUGGGACUGAGACACGGCCCAGACUCCUACGGGAGGCAGCAGUGGGGAAUAUUGGGCAAUGGGCGAAAGCCUGAUCCAGCAAUGCCGCGUGAGUGAUGAAGGCCUUAGGGUUGUAAAGCUCUUUUACCAGGGAUGAUAAUGACAGUACCUGGAGAAUAAGCUCCGGCUAACUCCGUGCCAGCAGCCGCGGUAAUACGGAGGGAGCUAGCGUUGUUCGGAAUUACUGGGCGUAAAGCGUACGUAGGCGGUUACUCAAGUCAGAGGUGAAAGCCCGGGGCUCAACCCCGGAACUGCCUUUGAAACUAGGUAGCUAGAGUCUUGGAGAGGUUAGUGGUAUUCCGAGUGUAGAGGUGAAAUUCGUAGA
rnacentral:rRNA from 1 species